rfam:Cricetulus griseus cell line CHO-K1, whole genome shotgun sequence.
UGGCUCAGAGGUUAAGAGCACUGACUGCAAUUCCAGAGGUCCUGAGUUCAAUUCUCAG